rnacentral:lncRNA from 1 species
UCUAUGCAAUGCUAAAGCUGAAAAACAAAGGCUAGGACAAGACAAUGAAGCACAGAGUUCUGGGCCAGCUUUGCUGCUAGUCUUUGAGGUUGUGCUUGUCCUCUUGCUCCUCUGUGAAGUUGGAAGAACCGUAAUCCCAACCAACUCCCUGAGGCCUUGAGCAAGCUGGGGACCCAGCCUGGCCCAUGCUCUGGUCCUGGGCACUGUAAGGGGUGGGCAGGGCCAGAAGGAAGGUGUAUUGUGGAGGUGUAAAGAAGGAUGAAACACAAAGCCCUGAACCCCCUUCAAUGUCAGCACACAGUGGGGAGCUGCGCUGUGUCACUAACACAGGCUGGCUGUGGAGCCACUUUCAUACAGGAACAUCCUAUGGAGCAGAGGGACCUGUUCAAUCCACAGGGCAGGAAAAGCUCAGGCUUCCUCUCCCAUGAGAAGGGCUGGGCUUUGUUGAUCUCAAAUACCGGCCUAUUAUGUGCUUGGCUGGCUGGUCACCAUGGGAGCCUGUGCAAAGAGGGUACCAGAAACGGCUGGGCUGGCUGGCCACAGGAUUAGCUGGGGAAGAGGGCGCCCACCUUCCAGCAGCCCCCUGCGCAUGCUGCAUCUUCAGAGCCAGCAUGGAAACUCACAGCUCUUCCUGAGCAGGAUGCUGGGACCAGGGUUCAAGGGCAUUAUUAAACACAAGGAAAUCCCACAGAGAACUAAAUCUGACAGAAGCAGUAUCCCAUUUAUCACUGCAGCAUCCCUAGUGAUCAAUGACACAGGACACAUAGAAGCUCUCCGGGACAGCUCUUCCACGUCCACCAGGAGGGGAACCUGGGUGCUGUCUCUGGAGCCCAAGAUGGCACGGGGCUGGGCACCAGGGAGCUUCGUGCAGGCCCGGGCCGCGUCCUGAUGAGUAGAGCUGAGGCCUGCCUGGUGGGAAGCGGGGUUCCGGAUGCCUCACUGAAUGGAGAAGAGAACAAGGUGGGGACGGACAGCGGCUGCUGGGGUGACUCGGCCAGGCCAGCACUUGGGGGGACAGAAGCCCAAGCAGCCACCAGGUACAGGGUACCACCUCCACCCCCUAUCUGCCAGGCUCCCUGGUGGAGAACAGACCUGACAUGUUUAGAGUGUGUAUCCGUUAGUUUUC